rnacentral:rRNA from 1 species
UACGUAGGGUGCAAGCGUUAUCCGGAAUUAUUGGGCGUAAAGAGCUCGUAGGCGGUUUGUCGCGUCUGCUGUGAAAACUGGGGGCUCAACCCCCAGCCUGCAGUGGGUACGGGCAGACUAGAGUGCGGUAGGGGAGAUUGGAAUUCCUGGUGUAGCGGUGGAAUGCGCAGAUAUCAGGAGGAACACCGAUGGCGAAGGCAGAUCUCUGGGCCGUAACUGACGCUGAGGUGCGAAAGCGUGGGGAGCAAACAGG